ACCUGGUGCUCAACCAUUGGGUCAGGCUGUGGCCUAGAAAUUCUGCUGCACUAGGCUAGUUUCAUAUUUAAUGAAAUAAGUCAGAUUGCUGUAGAUGCUUAAGGCAAUUUAAACUUAAACGUUUUAUUUUUCAGCAGUUGCACACAGUAAAAUAGAAAUAGUUGAAAGAUAACGUGUACAGACAAAGACCAUGCAGAGCAACAAAAUUGAGACUGUUAUGGCAAAGUGGUGUCUCCCUGUUUUGGGAUAAUGGAGCUGCUUUCUUUGUUUAGAAAGCAGUCAGCCAGUAGGUGUAAAGGGCAGGAAGAACAAUUACUGAAACGUGCUUCUACAAGGCAGAGCAGAGCACAAGAGGCUAGACAGAGCAUUUCAUUGUCUGAUUACAUCUAUUGAUGGGCUUACAGUGGAUCUGAUUUUAACAGCACCUGCUGAUUUUAUGGCCCUUCCCAAGCAUACCUAAGCAUCUGGCGGUUUCCCUCUUCGUCCUACUAUAUAAAGGAUUGAUUGUACCUUACACUGUAGACACUGAUCCUGCUUUAAUUAAAGAUCAACAGAGAGAACUCUCAGGAUGCCAGCAAUCUAUUCCAGUUCAUCACUAUUGCUGUAUUCAGAAUAAGCUGUUUCUUUCAUGUGGGGGGAAAACUUUAUGAUCAUAGUGCUCUCUCUUUUUUGCUUCACAUGCUGAGCAACCACAGUUUAUUCAAUCUUUUUCAAAAUAAGAAAAAGUUAAGGAAUGUAUCUAGGGCUCAUUCAUAUGAAUCUGAUUUUCCAUAUUUUCUUAACAUAGAAAAGUGAUGCUGAGUUGGAUAAAAUUGAAGUCUAUGUUUGUAAUUGUUCCUUCUGCCAAUAUUGAGGUUAAGAUUGAAUUUCUGAUAUUAUUUCUUUUGCUGACUAUUACUGUUUAGUAUUUGUAUGCCCUUAUAGAAGAGACUAGAUUUGUGUGAUUUGCUACAAUUCCCUUAGAAUUAUGUAAAGAUUAUGAAACAUUAUUCUGUUUAUAAUUCAUUUCAUCUUAAAAUUGGGGGAAAAAAAUCAGUUUGGAAAAUUCUAAGGAAAUUGAGCUUUAUUAGAUAAAUUUUAAAAAGAAUUGAAAAUGAAGGUAAUGAAACUAGAUGAUUGAAAAUACUUCCUUUUAUUGUUUUAUGAUAUAUGGAAUGAGAUUUUUCUGCAUAAAAAUAUUUCUCAGUUUCCUAACUCAAAAGUCAUCUCAGGAGUAUCCAACAGCAAUCUACACUAAGUAACAUUGUAGGUGUUGAUAGAUAUGUUCCAUCCUGUCUUUUUCUGUUAUUUCAAAAGAUAUUAAAAAUAAAAGGGGCAUUUUAAAUAUAGAUAUGCCCAAAUUCAAUCUACCUUCCUUGGGAGACUGAUAGUGGCUUUAAUAAGUUUUAGGACAUUAUAAUCAGGUAAACUUCUAGUCACUGAAGUCUGUCAAAAAUUGUACAUGAUUUUGAGUGAUGGGUGUGUUAAACAACCCUAUUAAAACUAGUUUUCAAAGAAAGAAUAACAUUUCUAUAGAAGUACUGGAGAUCUGCAAAAAUAGGCAACAAAAAAAGGGCAAAUCAGAGAACAGCCAGGCUUUCUUGUACUGUUUGUUCUUCCAGUCUUUUUCUAGGUAGAUGUUUACAGAAGACAACAGACAUUUGGGACCUCACUUGUUUUCAUUCUUUUUUAUUGUAUGCAGUCUACAGUCUUACAAAUAAAAUCAUCUAUU
rnacentral:lncRNA from 7 species